UACGCAGGGGGCUAGCGUUGCUCGGAAUCACUGGGCGUAAAGGGUUCGUAGGCGGGUCUUUAAGUCAGGGGUGAAAUCCUGGAGCUCAACUCCAGAACUGCCUUUGAUACUGAAGAUCUUGAGUUCGGGAGAGGUGAGUGGAACUGCGAGUGUAGAGGUGAAAUUCGUAGAUAUUCGCAAGAACACCAGUGGCGAAGGCGGCUCACUGGCCCGAUACUGACGCUGAGGCACGAAAGCGUGGGGAGCAAACAGG
rnacentral:rRNA from 1 species